AGAGUUUGAUCCUGGCUCAGGAUGAACGCUAGCGGCAGGCCUAACACAUGCAAGUCGAGGGGUAACAGGUAGGAAGCUUGCUUUCUAUGCUGACGACCGGCGCACGGGUGAGUAACGCGUAUGCAAUCUACCCUUAACUGGGGAAUAGCCCGAAGAAAUUCGGAUUAAUGCCCCAUAACACUAUGGUAUCGCAUGAUACUAUAUUUAAAACUCCGGUGGUUAAGGAUGAGCAUGCGUGACAUUAGCUAGUUGGUAAGGUAACGGCUUACCAAGGCUACGAUGUCUAGGGGGCCUGAGAGGGUAGUCCCCCACACUGGUACUGAGACACGGACCAGACUCCUACGGGAGGCAGCAGUGAGGAAUAUUGGUCAAUGGGCGCAAGCCUGAACCAGCCAUGCCGCGUGCAGGAAGACGGCUCUAUGAGUUGUAAACUGCUUUUAUACGGGAAUAACCAUAGCUACGUGUAGCUAUCUGAAUGUACCGUACGAAUAAGCAUCGGCUAACUCCGUGCCAGCAGCCGCGGUAAUACGGAGGAUGCAAGCGUUAUCCGGAUUUAUUGGGUUUAAAGGGUGCGUAGGCGGGAAAAUAAGUCAGUGGUGAAAUCCUGCAGCUUAACUGUAGAACUGCCAUUGAUACUGUUUUUCUUGAGUGUAGUUGAGGUAGGCGGAAUGUGUAAUGUAGCGGUGAAAUGCUUAGAUAUUACACAGAACACCGAUUGCGUAGGCAGCUUACUAAACUAUUACUGACGCUCAGGCACGAAAGCGUGGGUAGCGAACAGGAUUAGAUACCCUGGUAGUCCACGCCGUAAACGAUGAUCACUAGCUGUUGGCAACACAUAGUCAGUGGCAAAGCGAAAGCAUUAAGUGAUCCACCUGGGGAGUACGCUCGCAAGAGUGAAACUCAAAGGAAUUGACGGGGGCCCGCACAAGCGGUGGAACAUGUGGUUUAAUUCGAUGAUACGCGAGGAACCUUACCUGGGCUUAAAUGCAUAACGACGUAGUGGGAAACCAUUGCUCCCUUCGGGGCGUUUUGCAAGGUGCUGCAUGGUUGUCGUCAGCUCGUGCCGUGAGGUGUCGGGUUAAGUCCCAUAACGAGCGCAACCCCUAUCGUUAGUUGCUAGCAGGUAAUGCUGAGGACUCUAGCGAAACUGCCGGUGUAAACCGAGAGGAAGGUGGGGAUGACGUCAAAUCAGCACGGCCCUUAUGUCCAGGGCUACACACGUGUUACAAUGGUCGGUACAGAGGGCAGCUACCUGGUGACAGGAUGCUAAUCUCGAAAGCCGGUCACAGUUCGGAUUGAAGUCUGCAACUCGACUUCAUGAAGCUGGAAUCGCUAGUAAUCGCGUAUCAGCAAUGACGCGGUGAAUACGUUCCCGGGCCUUGUACACACCGCCCGUCACACCAUGGGAGUUGGUUGCACCAGAAGUAGGUAGCUUAACCUUAGGGAGGGCGCUUACCACGG
rnacentral:rRNA from 1 species